rnacentral:tRNA from 1 species
GGUUUGUGGUUCAGUGGCAGAGCGCUCGCCUAGCAUGUGCAAGGCCCUGGGUUUGAUCCUCAGCACCA